rnacentral:rRNA from 1 species
CCUACGGGAGGCAGCAGUGGGGAAUCUUCCGCAAUGGGCGAAAGCCUGACGGAGCAACGCCGCGUGAUCGAAUGAAGGCCUUCGGGUUGUAAAGAUCUGUUGUCAGGGACGAAUAUGCAACGCGAAUACCUUUUUGUAUGACCGUUCUUGUUUAGAAUGCUCUGGCUCACUACGUGCCAGCAGCCGCGGUAAUACGUAGGGAGCAAGCGUUGUCCGGAAUUACUGGGCGUAAAGGGCGCGUAGGUGGGCGCUUAAGUCAGGUGUGAAAGCUCCGGGCUCAACCUGUAGACUGCAAUUGAUACUGGGAGUCUUGAGGGCAGGUGAGGAAAGUGGAAUUCCUAGUGUAGCGGUGAAAUGCGUAGAUAUUAGGAAGAACACCAGUGGCGAAGGCGACUUUCUAGACUGUACCUGACGCUGAGGCGCGAAAGCGUGGGUAGCGAACGGGAUUAGAUACCCCGGUAGUC